ACGUAGGGUGCGAGCGUUGUCCGGAUUCAUUGGGCGUAAAGGGCUAGUAGGCGGCUUAGCAAGUCGGGUGUGAAAACUUCAGGCUCAACCUGGAGCGGCCAUCCGAUACUGCUAUGGCUAGAGUCCGGUAGGGGACCACGGAAUUCCUGGUGUAGCGGUGAAAUGCGCAGAUAUCAGGAGGAACACCGGUGGCGAAGGCGGUGGUCUGGGCCGGAACUGACGCUGAAUAGCGAAAGCGUGGGUAGCGAACAGGA
rnacentral:rRNA from 1 species